AUUGAACGCUGGCGGCAGGCCUAACACAUGCAAGUCGAGCGAGCGGCGGACGGGUGAGUAAAGUAUGGGGAUCUGCCAGAGAGAGGGGGAUCAAUACUAAAAAGGGUGGCUAACACCACAUACUCAGGGAUGGACCGAUAUGGGAUUAGAUAGUAGGUGGGGUAAAGGCUCACCUAGGGGACGAUCUCUAGCUGGUCUGAGAGGAUGAUCAGCCACACUGGGACUGAGACACGGUCCAGACUCCUCCGGGAGGCAGCAGUGGGGAAUAUUGCACAAUGGGCGCAAGCCUGAUGCAGCCAUGCCGCGUGUAUGAAGAAGGCCUUAGGGUUGUAAAGUACUUUCAGCGGGGAGGCGUUACCCGCAGAAGAAGCACCGGCUAACUCCGUGCCAGCAGCCGCGGUAAUUC
rnacentral:rRNA from 1 species